AUCCAGUUGGUGAGUCCCAAAUAGGAUGAAACGCGCGUCAAACUGGAU
rnacentral:hammerhead_ribozyme from 1 species